UUAGAAGUUUGAUCCUGGCUCAGGACGAACGCUGGCGGCGUGCUUAACACAUGCAAGUCGAACGAGAAUCUGUGGAUCGAGGAUUCGUCCAAGUGAAGCAGAGGACAGUGGCGGACGGGUGAGUAACGCGUGAGGAACCUGCCUUUCAGAGGGGGACAACAGUUGGAAACGACUGCUAAUACCGCAUGAUACAUUUGGGUGGCAUCAUCUGAAUGUCAAAGAUUUAUCGCUGAAAGAUGGCCUCGCGUCUGAUUAGCUAGUUGGUGAGGUAACGGCCCACCAAGGCGACGAUCAGUAGCCGGACUGAGAGGUUGACCGGCCACAUUGGGACUGAGAUACGGCCCAGACUCCUACGGGAGGCAGCAGUGGGGAAUAUUGGGCAAUGGGCGCAAGCCUGACCCAGCAACGCCGCGUGAAGGAAGAAGGCUUUCGGGUUGUAAACUUCUUUUAAGAGGGAUGAGCAGAAGACUGUACCUCUAGAAUAAGCCACGGCUAACUACGUGCCAGCAGCCGCGGUAAUACGUAGGUGGCAAGCGUUGUCCGGAUUUACUGGGUGUAAAGGGCGUGCAGCCGGGAAUGCAAGUCAGAUGUGAAAUCCAUGGGCUUAACCCAUGAACUGCAUUUGAAACUGUAUUUCUUGAGUACUGGAGAGGCAAUCGGAAUUCCUAGUGUAGCGGUGAAAUGCGUAGAUAUUAGGAGGAACACCAGUGGCGAAGGCGGAUUGCUGGACAGCAACUGACGGUGAGGCGCGAAAGUGUGGGGAGCAAACAGGAUUAGAUACCCUGGUAGUCCACACUGUAAACGAUGAAUACUAGGUGUGCGGGGACUGACCCCCUGCGUGCCGCAGUUAACACAAUAAGUAUUCCACCUGGGGAGUACGAUCGCAAGGUUGAAACUCAAAGGAAUUGAC
rnacentral:rRNA from 1 species